rnacentral:tRNA from 1 species
GGGGUUGUGGCUCAGAGGUAGAGCGUUUGCCUAGCAUGCAUUUGGCACUGGGUUCAAUCCUCAGCACCA